rnacentral:rRNA from 1 species
GAUGAACGCUGGCGGCGUGCCUAAUACAUGCAAGUCGAGCGAACAGACGAGGAGCUUGCUCCUCUGACGUUAGCGGCGGACGGGUGAGUAACACGUGGAUAACCUACCUAUAAGACUGGGAUAACUUCGGGAAACCGGAGCUAAUACCGGAUAAUAUAUUGAACCGCAUGGUUCAAUAGUAAAAGACAGUUUUGCUGUCACUUAUAGAUGGAUCCGCGCCGCAUUAGCUAGUUGGUAAGGUAACGGCUUACCAAGGCAACGAUGCGUAGCCGACCUGAGAGGGUGAUCGGCCACACUGGAACUGAGACACGGUCCAGACUCCUACGGGAGGCAGCAGUAGGGAAUCUUCCGCAAUGGGCGAAAGCCUGACGGAGCAACGCCGCGUGAGUGAUGAAGGUCUUCGGAUCGUAAAACUCUGUUAUUAGGGAAGAACAAAUGUGUAAGUAACUAUGCCCGUCUUGACGGUACCUAAUCAGAAAGCCACGGCUAACUACGUG